AUUGAACGCUGGCGGCAUGCCUUACACAUGCAAGUCGAACGGUAACAGGUCUUCGGAUGCUGACGAGUGGCGAACGGGUGAGUAAUACAUCGGAACGUGCCCGAUCGUGGGGGAUAACGAAGCGAAAGCUUUGCUAAUACCGCAUAAGAUCUACGGAUGAAAGCAGGGGACCGCAAGGCCUUGCGCGAACGGAGCGGCCGAUGGCAGAUUAGGUAGUUGGUGGGAUAAAAGCUUACCAAGCCGACGAUCUGUAGCUGGUCUGAGAGGACGAACAGCAACACUGGGACUGAGACACGGCCCAGACUCCUACGGGAGGCAGCAGUGGGUAAUUUUGGACAAUGGGCGAAAGCCUGAUCCAGCAAUGCCGCGUGCAGGAUGAAGGCCUUCGGGUUGUAAACUGCUUUUGUACGGAACGAAAAGCUUCGGGCUAAUACCCUGGAGUCAUGACGGUACCGUAAGAAUAAGCACCGGCUAACUACGUGCCAGCCGCCGCCGUAA
rnacentral:rRNA from 1 species